AUAACAUACACGCCCAGAUGAUGUCACAAUCAGCUGUAUCUAAACAGAGCAGAGCUCAGGUGACAUCACAGAACAGGCAGAGGCAGUUCAGGGGUAUUCUGGUUGCCUUACCCAGCUCUGAAGUCUGUCAGCCUCUUCAGAUGUCACUUGCCAUGUGGUAAGGAAGUGUAGUCAGCAGCUGGUGCAGUGGGAAGAAGAGAAAGGAAGUUCCCCAAGACAAAAACAUCUCGGCAGACCGUGAUCAUGGGCUACAUUCUCCGUACCAGCUUCAUAGCUCCAGUGAGAAAAUAAAUUCCUGCAUCCAGGAGAUGUGGAGUAAGAGAUACAGCUGCCCUUGACCAUAUUUCUUACUUCCGAGAAGAUCGUAGCAGUAAUUCAGAAUCUCAUCCAGGAUACCUCAUCACAGGCUGGAGUGCAGUGUCAUGAGCUUGGCUCACUACAGCCUCCAUCUUCUGUGCUUAAGGAUCCUUCCCUCUCAACCUCCAAGGUAGCUGAGACUACAGGCAACAUUCGAAACCCAGGUGCCACUCCUUCAGGAAGGUACCAUCAAGCUCCAAGGACUCAUCCUCUUUCUCCUUCCCCACUACCUAGUCAUUAGAGCGUCAGCAUCCACUUCCUGAAAGGAAGAUGCCUGUUUUUCACAUAUCCCAGAAAGCCUCAUUUUAGGACAGCAUUUAGCAGAGUGUAUUCAGGAUCCCACUAACCUUUUCGGAAGACAUGACUUCCAGAUGAUAUAAGGCAAGAAUAAGAAAUUUCAGUGACAGGGAACAGAAAUCAUAUUUCUGCAUUCAGGAUCAUGUUUUCUUGGCUCCAUCAGGAACUGUGCAGGACUGUGCACUCUGUUGAUACUCACAUGGUGGAAUUAUAUUGCCCUUGGCCAACCCUAAAGCCAUCAAGAUAGCAGCAACUACUCUAUCAUUACUGUACCACCACCUGUAUGGAUCUCGUUGCCCAUAUGAAACUGAGUAAGGAACAAUGUGCAUCACACUCACAGAGAAAGAUGGACAAGUUUGGAAUAAUUCACUGUCGAAGUCUUCUUGAGCUGAGCAGUCAUGUGAGCUUGGAAGAUGAUCCCUCUCCAGCUGAUCCUUCAGCUCAGGCCAUCAUCUACAUCUGGAUUCCUGACCCGGAGAAACUAUGAGUAAUGUGUGCUGCUUUUGAGCCACUAAGCUACAUGAAUUAAUGAAGGAUCAUUAUUAAGUUUUUAAUGGGUCAAGAGAAAGUUACCACUGAGGUCUUCUCUACCUGGGCAACAAUUGACUCCUAACAACCACUAUAAGCUUGGAAGAUGAUCCCUCCCCAGCUGAUCCUUCAGGAAUUUCCACUGAAGUACCUCUGGUUGAAAAGGAGAACAGAGACUUUUUUCACAGCCACAGGACAAAAUUUGUUCAGAAUUAAAUGCUGAAAAAGGAGGCUGGAGUGCCGUGGCACAAUUAUGGUUCACCAGCCUCAACCUCCUGGGAUCAAGCAAUCGUCUCACCUCAGCCUCCUGAGUAGCUGGACUGCAGGUACCCACAAGUAGGGUUGACCACAGUAACAAGUAAGCAAGCAAAACAUUUUGUGAAAACCGUGAAGCAUCUUCCUCUGCAGUGACUUAUCAAAAGGGCCCUUUAGCCUAUCUACUGUGGUGUUCUAAAAGGAAGAAAGAGGCUAGUAAAUCCUGGAUACUUUGCUCCUACACCAAUAUUCCCAGCUGUACCUUGAAAUAAAAGGAUUUAGAACUUUAGAACAUUGCUGUUGUUGCUUAUGUCUCUAAUGUUCUCUUGAAUCUUGACAAUCCCCGAACACUGCUCCCCGCUUUAUUUGUUUAGUCCAGUCCCAGUGAAAUAAAUUAGAUGUCAAGGCUCCUCAUUAUGGUUGCCUGGUUUUUGGAACCUGGGGUACUUUGUACUCCUCCAGCAACAGCCAGA
rnacentral:lncRNA from 1 species